rnacentral:rRNA from 1 species
AGUAACGGCGAGUGAAGCGGCAAUAGCUCAAAUUUGAAAUCUGGCCUUCUGGCCCGAAUUGUAAUUUGUAGAGGAUGCUUCGAACGUGGUCUGGUCUAAGUUCCUUGGAACAGGACGUCAUAGAGGGUGAGAAUCCCGUAUGUGACUAGAUGCCUAAGUUUAUGUGAAGCUCCUUCGACGAGUCGAGUUGUUUGGGA